rnacentral:rRNA from 1 species
UACGUAGGGUGCAAGCGUUGUCCGGAAUUAUUGGGCGUAAAGAGCUCGUAGGCGGUUUGUCGCGUCUGCUGUGAAAAUCCAGGGCUUAACCCUGGACCUGCAGUGGGUACGGGCAGACUAGAGUGCGGUAGGGGAGAUCGGAAUUCCUGGUGUAGCGGUGAAAUGCGUAGAUAUCAGGAGGAACACCCGUGGCGAAGGCGGCCUUCUGGGGCAUUCCUGACACUGAGAAGCGAAAGCUAGGGGAGCAAACAGG